UACGGAGGGUGCAAGCGUUAUCCGGAUUCACUGGGCUUAAAGGGUGCGUAGGCGGCUAGGGAAGUCCGUGGUGAAAUCCUGCAGCUUAACUGCAGAACUGCCGUGGAUACUCUCUAUCUUGAAUAUCGUGGAGGUUAGCGGAAUAUGUCAUGUAGCGGUGAAAUGCUUAGAUAUGACAUAGAACACCCAUUGCGAAGGCAGCUAACUGCGCGAUCAUUGACGCUGAUGCACGAAAGCGUGGGGAGCAAACAGG
rnacentral:rRNA from 1 species